UUUCCGUAGGUGAACCUGCGGAAGGAUCAUUACAGAGUUCAUGCCCUCACGGGUAGAUCUCCCACCCUUGAAUAUUUAUACCUUAGUUGCUUUGGCAGGCCGUGGAAACACCAUGGGCUCCGGCUUAUGCGUGCCUGCCAGAGGAAACAAACUCUGUUUUAAGUGAUGUCUGAGUACUAUAUAAUAGUUAAAACUUUCAACAACGGAUCUCUUGGUUCUG
rnacentral:misc_RNA from 1 species